AUACGGAGGGUGCAAGCGUUACUCGGAAUCACUGGGCGUAAAGCGCGCGCAGGCGGCUAUUUAAGUUGGAUGUGAAAGCCUAUGGCUCAACCAUAGAACUGCAUCCAAAACUAUUUAGCUAGAGUGUGGGAGCGGAAGAUGGAAUUAGUUGUGUAGGGGUAAAAUCCGUAGAGAUAACUAGGAAUACCAAAAGCGAAGGCAAUCUUCUGGAACACUACUGACGCUGAGGCGCGAAAGCGUGGGGAGCAAACAGGAUUAGAAACCCCAGUAGUCC
rnacentral:rRNA from 1 species